UGUAGUGUCACUGCACUGCUGAUUAUUCAUUUGGUCCAGCUGUGUGCUGGUUUUGUACUUUGUCUUGGGAGAUGCAUCGUGUGUUGGAUUUUCAGGAAGCCUUUGUGCCCGACUGGUAAAUGUUUUUUAUGUGCUGAUCAGAGGGUUCCACCUUUUUCUUGGUUUUGGACAUGCUAUUUUAGUUCUAGUUAUUGUUUCCUGCACAUUACAACACCCUUUCACACAUUUUCCAUGCAUCCAUCAUUCUGUCUUGACAUGACUGAAACCACUGAUGUUCAUACCCCAUACUUUAUCACCUUUACUUUUGAAACAAGUCUUAAUUCGGCAUUCUUAUGAGUUAAAUAAAUAUAUUUUGUUAAAUGUC